CACGUAGGGCGCAAGCGUUGUCCGGAAUUAUUGGGCGUAAAGAGCUCGUAGGCGGUUUGUCGCGUCUGCCGUGAAAGUCCGGGGCUCAACUCCGGAUCUGCGGUGGGUACGGGCAGACUAGAGUGUGGUAGGGGAGACUGGAAUUCCUGGUGUAGCGGUGAAAUGCGCAGAUAUCAGGAGGAACACCGAUGGCGAAGGCAGGUCUCUGGGCCAUAACUGACGCUGAGAAGCGAAAGCAUGGGGAGCGAACAGG
rnacentral:rRNA from 1 species